CGAGUUGGUUAGACAAUCGCUGGUUUAUUGAAGCCCUUAAGACCGUAAGGUAUGCCUAAAUAGGUGAUAAGUGGGACAAGUGAACGAGAGGAAAGUCCGAGCUACAUAGGGCAGAGUGCCAGAUAACGUCUGGGAGACGUGAGUCUACGACUAGUGCAACAGAGAGCAGACCGCCAGUUUAGGCUGGUAAGGGUGAAAGGGUGUGGUAAGAGCACACCGCGUGAGUGGUAACAUUUCACGGCAUGGUAAACUCCACUCGUAGCAAGACCAAAUAGGAACUCAAUGGGUGUGCCCGCUCAGAGUUCGGGUAGGUUGCUUGAACGUGCAUGCGAAUGUACGUCUAGAGGAAUGAUUGUCCACGACAGAACUCGGCUUAUCGACUAACUCAACAU
rnacentral:RNase_P_RNA from 2 species